UACGUAGGGUGCGAGCGUGUCCGGAAUUAUUGGGCGUAAAGAGCUCGUAGGCGGUUUGUCACGUCUGCUGUGAAAUCCCGAGGCUCAACCUCGGGCCUGCAGUGGGUACGGGCAGACUGGAGUGCGGUAGGGGAGAAUGGAAUUCCUGGUGUAGCGGUGGAAUGCGCAGAUAUCAGGAGGAACACCGAUGGCGAAGGCAGUUCUCUGGGCCGUAACUGACGCUGAGGAGCGAAAGCGUGGGGAGCGAACAGG
rnacentral:rRNA from 1 species